CCGAAGAUUUUUUGGGGGGGUGGCCACUAAAGCCUGCCUCCUGCUUUUCUCCUGUGACCUCAUGAGGUCUUGGAAUGAUUAGGAUCUCUUAGUCACACUCUGGGGAAAUGCGCUGUAAUCUCAUCGUGAGAUGACCGGGGUUUUAAGUGAUUCACUCCAAGAAAGUCCUUGGGGGGUGAGAAGAACGCCUUCUCCGCUCUGUCUGUCACUUCGGCUGAAGCUGAGCAAAGCCCAGAAGAGCCUCUGCUGCUCCCUGGACUCCAGCGUCAGACGCUUGCCAGGGCGGAGCUGGUUAACCUCGAGGAAGUUACUUGAGCUUGACUUCAGGAACUGGGUGGUGGCAGUGAGCUGGGAGGGACGCCGCCGUGGCUGGAGGCCGAUUGGCCCAGGAGCGCGGCCGCAAGCUCCCCUAGUCCAGGAAGCAGCUCGGAGCCGCGGGUGGGCCCGCAGGUGGUCCUGCCCCACCCAGCCCUGCCUCCCAGGGCACCUGGGCCGAGCUCUCCUUUGAAGAACGAGCCCCGCCACCUUCGGGGCGGCCGCGGGGGGAGAGAUGGUCCGUCAAACCGAGGAGGGGGCUGUUCCCAGUGACCUGACAGCAGAGGAGCGCCAGGAGCUGGGGAACAUCCGGCGGAGGAAGCAGGAGCUGCUGGCCGACAUCCAGAGACUGAAGGAUGAGAUAGCAGAAGUCGCUAAUGAAAUUGAAAACCUGGGGUCCACAGAAGAGAGGAAGAACAUGCAGAGGAGCAAACAGGUGGCCAUGGGCAGGAAGAAAUUCAACAUGGAUCCUAAGAAGGGGAUCCAGUUCCUGAUAGAGAACGACCUGCUGAAGAACACGUGUGAGGACAUCGCCCAGUUCCUGUGCAGAGGAGAAGGGCUCAACAAGACGGCCAUCGGCGACUACCUGGGGGAGCGAGAUGAGUUUAACAUCCAGGUUCUCCAUGCGUUUGUGGGGCUCCACGAGUUCACCGAUCUCAACCUCGUCCAGGCCUUACGGCAGUUCCUGUGGAGCUUCCGGCUGCCAGGAGAGGCCCAGAAGAUCGACCGGAUGAUGGAGGCCUUUGCCCAGCGCUACUGUCAGUGCAACAACGGGGUGUUCCAGUCCACAGACACCUGCUACGUCCUCUCCUUUGCCAUCAUCAUGCUGAACACCAGCCUGCACAACCCCAACGUCAAAGACAAGCCCACUGUGGAGAGGUUCAUUGCCAUGAAUCGCGGCAUCAACGACGGGGGGGACCUGCCUGAGGAGCUGCUCCGGAAUCUGUACGAGAGCAUCAAAAACGAACCCUUUAAAAUCCCAGAGGAUGACGGCAAUGACCUCACGCACACCUUCUUCAACCCUGACCGGGAAGGCUGGCUCCUGAAGCUCGGAGGUGGCAGGGUAAAGACCUGGAAAAGACGCUGGUUCAUCCUGACUGACAACUGCCUCUACUACUUUGAAUACACGACGGACAAGGAGCCGCGGGGAAUCAUCCCCCUGGAGAACCUGGGCAUCCGGGAGGUGGAAGACUCCAAAAAACCAGUGAGUGUCUCUGAACUGCUUCGAGCUCUACAUCCCGGACAGCAAGGACCAGGUGAUUAAGGCGUGUAAGACGGAGGCCGACGGGCGCGUGGUGGAGGGGAACCACACGGUGUACCGGAUCUCUGCCCCGAGCCCCGAGGAGAAGGAGGAGUGGAUCAAGUGCAUCAAGGCGGCCAUCAGCAGGGACCCUUUCUACGAGAUGCUCGCCGCGAGGAAGAAGAAGGUCUCCUCCGCGAAGAGGCACUGAGCCUGCGGCAGCCGGUGCCAAGCCGGUGCGCCCGGCGAGGGAGGCCCGGAGCGCGAGGCCCGGCGCAGCCUCCCGCGCCCGCACCCGGGAGCAGCGUCUGAGUGGGAGCCUCUUGCCAGGCGCCGCCCCGCCUCCUGGAGACCAGCUUCGGCUUUUGCUCACUUUUGCGCCUGGGAGAAGGGGAGGGGUUACCACGGGGGAGGCGGGGCCUGACGCCGUCCCGCCGGGUUUUGAGCCUUUCUCUCUAGAAAGAACAGCACUCCUGCCUCCCCACGUCCCCGCUCAGCAGGUCUGAUAGCAGAGCUCGGAGCCGACCGUUUACCUCCAGUUCCCCCCGGGAAGAAGCCCUCACCCCGCCCCGCAAACCUGCGUAUCCGUAUCUCACUCUGUGUUAAGAAGAAAGGUGGAAUGGAAGAGAAGCCACGUACGAUAAAGAUAUAUUUUUGUUUUUUAAAGAAAGAGAAAGUUACCGUCGAGCCGUCCAGAUGCGCCCUGCCUGGCGCUUGGGGAGCUUCUCCCUGGAGAAGAGGCUCCCUGGGCCGCUGCGCUGGGGCCGCCGGGGCCGGGGGAGGCGGGAGCUUGUCUGGGUGAAGGAGGUGCCAGCCGUGGGGCAGGUGGCCGCCAGCGGGGACUCGGGCCGCUGCUCCAGCCGAGGCCUCCCCGCCCAGGCACCCCGGGGGGGCCCCCCUGCUGCUCUUGCCUUUUCCGAGUUCCUGCUUGUUGGGCUUUAAGACAGAAAGGCAGCCUCUUUCCUUGAGCGACACACCUAGUAACCAAAACUGUGAGGAGGUGGCCCCGGCUCCGGGAAGGCCUGUUUCUCACUUGGUUUGUCUUCCUCCCGCCCGCAAACUCCCUUCCUCGUUCUAGAGGAAGGAGGAGGCCUGACCCGAUCCCCUUAGGGCUUCGCCGCUUCUGCCUCCGGUGGUCCGGCCCUCCUCGCCGGCCGCCGUUGGUGUGUGCCGGCCCCUCGGGGCAGCGGGCCUCUGGCUGUGGGCCGGGCGCCGAGCCAGAGGGCGAGCCGGUUGGCCUCCUGGGUGUCGGCCUCGCCCUCCUAACUGGCGUGAAGGAGCCGCGAAGGCCGCUCUCCCGCCGUUCUCUCAGGGACUCUCGGGGCAGCUCCUGCCACCCGCCUGGGCCCGGCGCCAGUCCAGGCAGAGCUGGGCUGGCCGGGCCACCGCGUUGUCCCCCCGUCGCCGGGACCGGGCAGUGCAGCGCGCCGCCUCCCCGGCCCAGGACCCGGCUCCUCCGACGCCUUCAGGGCAGGCUCACAUCUCUGGAAAUAGCUCUGGUGAAGGGGGUGGGGGCUUUCUGCCCGCCCCCCAACUCCCGCAGGUCCUGCCUAGAGCCGCUUCAGGCGUUUCUACGCUGGAGCUCAUGAAGGUGAUGGAAGAGGGUCCAGGCUGGGAACCCCAACUUUCUGGGCAGGAGAACCAGAGUGGUGUGGGCCGAGGUCCAGGUGUUUUGGGGCCGCAGCUGGAGCCCUCUGGCUGGCUGAGUCCCCGGCCCUGGUUCUCACGAAUAUCAGAGAGGCACCUGGAGCAGUAUUCGUCUAUUUAUCAGAGGUGUAAAUAGUCCAUGUAUAGUUUUCCUCCUUUUAGAUUAUUUUGUAUUUGUUUAAAAAAAAGUUUUGUCAAAAUAUAAAGAAAUGACUGAAAGUUGUUGACAGGGUUUUUAAAAAAUUAUAAUUAUUAUUCCAAUUGUUUUUCUGUUUGUUUUUUUGCAUUGUAACGAGCGCCAAGGAACUGCAGCCAAUAAACUCCCAAACUGCCCGAA